CCUACGGGAGGCAGCAGUGGGGAAUAUUGGGCAAUGGGCGCAAGCCUGACCCAGCAACGCCGCGUGAAGGAAGAAGGCUUUCGGGUUGUAAACUUCUUUUCUGAGGGACGAAGAAAGUGACGGUACCUCAGGAAUAAGCCACGGCUAACUACGUGCCAGAAGCAGCGGUAAUACGUAGGUGGCAAGCGUUAUCCGGAUUUAUUGGGUGGAAAGGGCGUGUAGGCGGGAAAGCAAGUCAGAUGUGAAAACUCAGGGCUGAACCCUGAGCCUGCAUUUGAAACUGUUUUUCUUGGGUGCUGGAGAGGCAAUCGGAAUUCCGUGUGUAGCGGUGACAUGCGUAGAUAUACGGAGGAACACCAGUGGCGAAGGCGGAUUGCUGGACAGUAACUGACGCUGAGGCGCGAAAGCGUGGGGAGCAAACAGGAUUAGAUACCCUGGUAGUC
rnacentral:rRNA from 1 species